AUUGAACGCUGGCGGCAGGCCUAACACAUGCAAGUCGAGCGGAUGAAGAGAGCUUGCUCUCUGAUUCAGCGGCGGACGGGUGAGUAAUGCCUAGGAAUCUGCCUGGUAGUGGGGGACAACGUUUCGAAAGGAACGCUAAUACCGCAUACGUCCUACGGGAGAAAGCAGGGGACCUUCGGGCCUUGCGCUAUCAGAUGAGCCUAGGUCGGAUUAGCUAGUAGGUGAGGUAAUGGCUCACCUAGGCGACGAUCCGUAACUGGUCUGAGAGGAUGAUCAGUCACACUGGAACUGAGACACGGUCCAGACUCCUACGGGAGGCAGCAGUGGGGAAUAUUGGACAAUGGGCGAAAGCCUGAUCCAGCCAUGCCGCGUGUGUGAAGAAGGUCUUCGGAUUGUAAAGCACUUUAAGUUGGGAGGAAGGGCAGUAAGUUAAUACCUUGCUGUUUUGACGUUACCAACAGAAUAAGCACCGGCUAACUUCGUGCCAGCCGCCGCCGUAACAC
rnacentral:rRNA from 1 species